CCGGUUUGGCUCGUUGAGUUCCUUGUGAGUCUAUCCCGUUUCCCUUUUCAUCAUUAUCCUUUCUUUUUUUAAAAAAAAAGAAAUAUUAUUAACAAAUAAAUCGUUUUAAAAAUUUCUCCUGCCAGACUUUUAAGCCUCGGACGGUUGCAGAUUAAUUUUGAUAAAAGCGAAGGACGUGCCGGCUAAAAUGGCGUCUACCGUCGUUCCCCCCGCCGGCGAGGAAAGCAAGGUUCAGCAGCACCGCCAGCGCCAUGGGCGCCACCAAAGGACGUCGCCGCGGACGCCGAAGAGGAGCUGGCCCUCGAACUCGUCCUCUUGCAGCAACGGCACGGCCGCCGCCCCCAAGUGCGUGUGCGCCCCGGCGACGCAUGCCGGCUCGUUCAAGUGCCGCCUCCACAGGGUAAAUUCUCAUGGCCAUUCGGCGCCCGUCGCUCCUUUACCUCAGGAGCCGCCCGUCUCGGCUUCAUCCACUCGGACUGUUGAGGCACUGUGAAAAUUAAUAAUAACAAAUGAACUAAAGAACUGGUUACUGGUGACAUGAGCUACAAGAAGAAAAAAAUGUAUAUCUACCUACCUACCUUUCCACCUUUCCCAGAUCUUUGUGAAUGGGUGGCUUUGCACUGUCGGUCGUGUAAUGAAAGCAGAUAGUGGAUGGAUGUUUUUGCGAGAGCAGAUGCUUAAUGAUAUUUGUUUCUUUGUGGAAGGGCUUGAAAGCAGUUUUACGAAGAUUGCAUUUGUGAUGUGGAUUUUAUAGAAUUCCCAUAUCAAAAGCAUUGUUUGGAUGGAUGGAUGAAUGAAUGAAUGGGAUGCUUUGGACCAUGAGGCAAAUAUGGGUUUAUGCGUGAUGCUUCUGUAAAGUGGAAUGCAUUAUGUGUAUGAGAAGUCCCCUGAAUUCAAGCGUUUCUUUAGCUCCUAGAUCUGGCCAUGAGUUGUAAGUACCCUUCCCCUGUUAAAUUUCCGCAUUCUUUCCCUUCCCAGCAUAAUACUGUCUAUUUCUCCGCUUCAUGUGGUCAUGCUCAUCUCUAGAUAAGAUGUCUUAUUUACUUGGAUUGGUAGAACUUUCACCUUUUCAGCUGGUAUUCUUGAUGAUUCUUUUCGGAAAUUCUUAUAACCUUCAUAACACAAAUAUAUAUACUGUUCAUGUUUGUUGAUAGGUCUUAGCAUUGUUGAUAAUGCCAGAACAAUCAUUAAUCAAGGAGUUAAUGCUUUCAGGAUAAUAGCGAUUCUGGUUUACUUAGCUUUUGGAACUUCCACCUGGUUAAUAAUAAAGAAAUCAGGUAAGUGUGAAAUGGAAGGAAAGGUGCAGUCAAAGACCUUUUUGUGAUCCAUUGUUUAAUGUCUAAAUUUUAGUUUUUUAUUAGUACAAUUUGUUCAUCUUUUAGGAGCCAUUUUGAUAUAUCUCACUCUCAGACUCUCUUAUUAGAUUUCAUGUGCCAUUUACUAAGCAAAGGUUUAUAAAUAUAGUAUAUAUGUAUAUAAGCAUGCUGAUAUAAACAUACAUAUACACAUCUACAUUGAUCACCUGUAUAGAUUCAUACAUGUAUAAUCUUGUUUGUUAUGUAUGCAUAGUUCAUAUAUGCAUGUGUACAUACAGAUGAUGGUCUAGAUGAGGUUUGCCUAAGCAUCUUCUUGUCUGUAUGAAGCUCAAGCACCUAUGCAAUUGCUAGCAACAACUAGGUGUUCAUCUAGGACAUUCAAUGGAAGGUUCUAUAAGGUUUUAUUCAUUGUCCCGGGAAGCAGAAUAGCACCUUUUGUGCCUUUAAAAGUUGAUGCUGAUUGUAGAAUCCUUCACAGUUACCGGGAUUGAGUCAAAGAAAAAAUCGGGAAUCAACUUGCUACAAAAGUCCAGGACACAUCCAACUUUACUCCAGCUCUUGAAAAUUUGUCAUUUGGAAUUUGAAUGAUUUAUAGAUUUUAGAGAGAAUUCAUGAGAACAUGAUGAGUUCCUUGAUUCCCUUUACCAGAAAAAAUCACAUUUUUGUGGCCUUGUGCUUAGAGCAAGUGGUUUGCAUGCCCCCCUCCUUGUCAAUGGACACCAAAAACAAAAGGCUGCUAUCAUAUGCUUCUUGUUGCAGUUAUGUUUAUCAUGGCAAUAACAAAAUCUUUUAUUUGCUGUCUGAAAAAGUUGUAGAAUCAGAAUAUGAAUGUUUUUGAGUAGAGAAAUCAAUAUAUUGUCGUCGCAAGAUUUGAAAUACAGAAGACUGUGUUUAUGGGAUGUGUAUGGGCUGCUUUCCUGCUGCAUCAACUGUCUUGGACUGGUUAUUAUCUUUUAUGUCUGAUGAAGAGGACAGACUAGUUAUUAUCUUCUAUGACGGAUGAAGAGGACAGACUAGCUUUUCCAUGAUAUCAUGAAACUUCUUCUCCUAGUUUCCAGGGUACAUGCUUUUAAGGCCAUGUAUUUUGGAUGGCCUGAGGGAUGCUAUCAAGGUGAUCUUUAUGGUACCAAAGGUGGCCAUUGUGAUUCUUAGAGUUACUGUAGUGUAUAUUAGUUUCAUGUCCCAAUGAGAGAGUGUUGACUCUUUUAUAAUCUGUUCAAAACAAAUAUGACUGCUUAAAAUUUUUGAUGAAAUUCUGUUCAGAUCUAUCUUAGAUCUGAAAUAUCCUCACUGUUUUCUUUGUGGACAGCAAGAAUUACAACUGAGAGCAAGAUUUUAAAUUUCACAGAGGUUGGUCCCAGCUUGAUCAAAAUUUUGAUUUUGGUAUUUUUUUUGCUGGUUUCAGCCAAAUUUCUGUUAGUUUGGACCAGUUUUGGCAGUUUCAGCUGGUUUUGCUCAGUUUCGGUCGCUUUCAUACGGUUAUUGCUGAAACUAAUAGGAAUUUUCUCCUUUUUUGCAUAACAAAUGCAUGUCUUUAAUGUCGUCUUUGGUUAUCUUUCUUUGAAUUUCUUAACUGAUUUCUUUACUAAUUAGAGAACAUUAUGUGUUAGUAGGCUUCUAUUUUCUUUCUUCAAUGUCUUUUCUUAUAAAUAAAAUGAAAUAUUGAAAGGAAGUAUUGAAAUAAAAAUGAUUUUUUAUUUAGAUGGGUUUUGUCUUGCUUAGAUAAGUUAUUAGAAGGACAUAGAAUGGAAUAUGCUUGCAUGUCUAUUUUUCCCUAGACAGGUUAUUAGUUUUUAUCAAUUUUAUGCUUUGUGGCAUUUGAAUAGGUAUAUGCAAUUGAUUCUAUUCACUUGUUUUGUUUCUUUAUGCUUGAUGGAGUGAUUUUAGUAUUUAUACUAAAUAGAUUAGUAUUAUUGUAAUCUACUUAAUGCGUUAAGCUUCUAUAUGGUUUAAAUCUAGCCUAACAUUACUCAAAUUACAUAAAUUAUGAUUUAAAACAUGAAAAAGUAUAUGAAAUAGAUCAUCUUAACUUUAUUCAUAUUUUUUCCUUUUUUGAUUUUUUUUUCUUACUUUUUUGGUCAAAACUUUGAAACUUGAGAGAAACUGUCAAAAUCACCGAAACUGCUAAAACCAAAAAAAUGCCUUGGGGACCAAAGUCGAAAAUGAAACCAAAUUAUAAAACCUUGCAUAGGAGAGAAAGUCCUAUCCCUAUCCACACAAAGACUUAGGACCAAAUGUGAAAAAAUACAAUAAAAUAAGUUAUUUGAAACUGAUUUGUUUUGGCUGAGGUUGAUUUAUUUCUACUGAAAUGCAUUGGUUUUAUAUAUGUUUUAGCUGAUAUUGAUUGGAAACUUGUUGAAAUUUUUUUGUUGUGGUUGGUUUUGGUCGGUUUUGUCUGGUUUCGGCAGCUUCAAUGAUUCCAUGGCUUUUUUCUUACAUUGGAAGUGGGUCAAGUGCAAGUGCGGGGAAGCAGGACUCUUAAAAAUUUAACAAGAUUAUGCUUAGGAAGUGGAUGUGGGCACAAGUUUUCGAGGAGAUUCAGUAUUAGAUGCACCACUCUAAAUGGAAAAUUCUUGCUUAGAUUGUUUGGUAAACUAAAUUGACUUAUGCAUUUGUAAUUAAAACUAUGCUGGAUGAGUAUUUUCUUAGAUAGACUAUUAAUUUUAUAUUUGUGGAAUCGCAUAUGCAAUUGUAAUUAAAAUUAUACUCUUAUGUACUUGUCUUAAUUAUGCUUGUCUAAGUAAUGUAUGGUAUUUAUUGAUUA